GCCGAGAUGGCGGAAUUGGUAGACGCGCUAGCUUCAGGUGCUAGUGACCGCAAGGUCAUGGAGGUUCGAGUCCUCUUCUCGGCACCA
rnacentral:tRNA from 1 species